rnacentral:rRNA from 1 species
AACGAACGCUGGCGGCAGGCCUAACACAUGCAAGUCGAGCGGGGUUUUCGGACCUAGCGGCGGACGGGUGAGUAAUGCGUAGGAAGCUACCCGAUAGAGGGGGAUACCAGUUGGAAACGACUGCUAAUACCGCAUAAUGUCUACGGACCAAAGUGUGGGACCUUCGGGCCACAUGCUAUCGGAUGCGCCUACGUGGGAUUAGCUAGUUGGUGAGGUAAUGGCUCACCAAGGCGACGAUCCCUAGCUGGUUUGAGAGGAUGAUCAGCCACACUGGAACUGAGACACGGUCCAGACUCCUACGGGAGGCAGCAGUGGGGAAUAUUGGACAAUGGGCGCAAGCCUGAUCCAGCCAUGCCGCGUGUGUGAAGAAGGCCUUCGGGUUGUAAAGCACUUUCAGUAGGGAGGAAGCGUUGUGUGUUAAUAGUACACAGCGUUGACGUUACCUACAGAAGAAGCACCGGCUAACUCUGUGCCAGCCGCCGCCGUAAAAC